rnacentral:Y_RNA from 1 species
GGCUAGUCUGAAGGUAGUGAGUUAUCUCAACUGACUGAUUAUGCAUAGCCAGUUAUAGAUCAAACUUCUUGUUCUACUCUUUCUCACCUUCUCACUACUACAUUUGACUAGUCUUAA